rnacentral:rRNA from 1 species
GAUGAACGCUGGCGGCGUGCUUAACACAUGCAAGUCGAACGAUGAAGCCCAGCUUGCUGGGUGGAUUAGUGGCGAACGGGUGAGUAACACGUGAGUAACCUGCCCUUGACUCUGGGAUAAGCCUGGGAAACUGGGUCUAAUACUGGAUAUGACUUCUCAUCGCAUGGUGGGGGGUGGAAAGAUUUAUUGGUCUUGGAUGGACUCGCGGCCUAUCAGCUUGUUGGUGAGGUAAUGGCUCACCAAGGCGACGACGGGUAGCCGGCCUGAGAGGGUGACCGGCCACACUGGGACUGGGACACGGCCCAGACUACUACGGGAGGCAGCAGUGGGGAAUAUUGCACAAUGGACGCAAGCCUGAUGCAGCGACGCCGCGUGAGGGAUGACGGCCUUCGGGUUGUAAACCUCUUUCAGUAGGGAAGAAGCGAGAGUGACGGUACCUGCAGAAGAAGCGCCGGCUAACUACGUG